AUGCGAUCUACGAGGCGCAUGAGGAGGUCCAAUGGUGGGGCUUCAAUUCCAAGUUCAUCGCGGCGGCGUUCCUCACCGGUACUGAGCGAGAUGGCUAGCUCCGGCGAAGUCUCUCCAUCGAUACGGUGGCUCUGUACCUGUGAGAGACACAUAGGUGAGGGGAGAGGCAGGGAGGAGAGGGUGAGGAGCGGCGGGGAAGUCUUGGUGGUGCCCGCCUCCUACAGCAGCCCUCGUGAGUGCGGCCAAAGAGAGAGAGAUGAGAGAGAGCCAGGAGGAAGAAGGAAAGGAAGGAGACUUCAGGAAGGGGCGGCGGGAUCCUGCGGUGCUGGGUUCGAGCUCCGUUGGUGGUGCUACUGCUGCUGUUGGACAAUGGCCGAUGGGACUUGA
rnacentral:rRNA from 1 species